rnacentral:lncRNA from 1 species
ACUUUUUUAUUGGCAAGUGACCGGCAUGGGACCGGGUCUCAGGUCCAAAAGUAUCAGUUGGGUACGGGUACUGGUACAUUAAACUUAGACCUGUCGGGUCUGGGUACAGGUCCGGGCAUAUGUAAUCUAUCCUAGGUUCAGGUCUGAGUUCAGCUGGACCCAACCCAUUGCCACCCCUAAAUAGAAGGCUCCUCAAGGUGGGGCUUGCUACCCUAGGUGGCACUCUAUGGGCCCCACCCAAUUGACA